rnacentral:rRNA from 1 species
GACGAACGCUGGCGGCGUGCUUAACACAUGCAAGCCGAACGAGAGCGUAGAGAAAGCUUGCUUUUUCUACAAUCUAGUGGCAAACGGGUGAGUAACGCGUAAACAACCUGCCCUACGGAUGGGGACAACAGCUGGAAACGGCUGCUAAUACCGAAUACGUUCCAAGGGCCGCAUGACUGUCGGAAGAAAGGAUGGCCUCUAUUUAUAAGCUAUCGCCGGAGGAGGGGUUUGCGUCUGAUUAGCUAGUUGGAGGGGUAACGGCCCACCAAGGCGACGAUCAGUAGCCGGUCUGAGAGGAUGAACGGCCACAUUGGAACUGAGACACGGUCCAGACUCCUACGGGAGGCAGCAGUGGGGAAUCUUCCGCAAUGGGCGAAAGCCUGACGGAGCAACGCCGCGUGAGUGAAGACGGCCUUCGGGUUGUAAAGCUCUGUUAUACGGGACGAAAAGUCUUGUGGUUAAUACCCAUAAGAAGUGACGGUACCGUAAGAGAAAGCCACGGCUAACUACGUGCCAGCAGCCGCGGUAAUACGUAGGUGGCAAGCGUUGUCCGGAAUUAUUGGGCGUAAAGGGCGCGCAGGCGGCUUCUUAAGUCUGUCUUAAAAGUGCGGGGCUUAACCCCGUGAUGGGAUGGAAACUGGGAAGCUCAGAGUAUCGGAGAGGAAAGCGGAAUUCCUAGUGUAGCGGUGAAAUGCGUAGAUAUUAGGAGGAACACCAGUGGCGAAAGCGGCUUUCUGGACGAAAACUGACGCUGAGGCGCGAAAGCCAGGGGAGCGAACGGG